GAUGAACGCUGGCGGCGUGCCUAAUACAUGCCAGUCGAGCGAACAGAUGAGGAGCUUGCUCCUCUGACGUUAGCGGCGGACGGGUGAGUAACACGUGGAUAACCUACCUAUAAGACUGGGAUAACUUCGGGAAACCGGAGCUAAUACCGGAUAAUAUAUUGAACCGCAUGGUUCAAUAGUGAAAGACGGUUUUGCUGUCACUUAUAGAUGGAUCCGCGCCGCAUUAGCUAGUUGGUAAGGUAACGGCUUACCAAGGCAACGAUGCGUAGCCGACCUGAGAGGGUGAUCGGCCACACUGGAACUGAGACACGGUCCAGACUCCUACGGGAGGCAGCAGUAGGGAAUCUUCCGCAAUGGGCGAAAGCCUGACGGAGCAACGCCGCGUGAGUGGUGAAGGUCUUCGGAUCGUAAAACUCUGUUAUUAGGGAAGAACAAAUGUGUAAGUAACUAUGCACGUCUUGACGGUACCUAAUCAGAAAGCCACGGCUAACUACGUG
rnacentral:rRNA from 1 species